UACAGAGGUCUCAAGCGUUGUUCGGAUUCAUUGGGCGUAAAGGGUGCGUAGGUGGCGCGGUAAGUCGGGUGUGAAAUCUCGGAGCUUAACUCCGAAAUUGCAUUCGAUACUGCCGUGCUCGAGGACUGGAGAGGAGACUGGAAUUCAUGGUGUAGCAGUGAAAUGCGUAGAGAUCAUGAGGAAGACCAGUGGCGAAGGCGGGUCUCUGGAAAGUUCCUGACGCUGAGGCACGAAGGUCAGGGGAGCAAACGGG
rnacentral:rRNA from 1 species